AGCGACUUAAAAAGAUAUAAAUUAAAUAAUCGCCAGGAUCGGACGGCAUACACCCCCCUAUCCUAAGAGAAUUAAGUAAUGUCAUAGCCAGACCCUUAUUUCUGAUAUUUAAGGACUCUAUACUGACAGGGAGUGUUCCACAGGAUUGG